rnacentral:rRNA from 1 species
AUUGAACGCUGGCGGCAGGCCUAACACAUGCAAGUCGAGCGGGGUUUUCGGACCUAGCGGCGGACGGGUGAGUAAUGCGUAGGAAGCUGCCCGAUAGAGGGGGAUACCAGUUGGAAACGACUGUUAAUACCGCAUAAUGUCUACGGACCAAAGUGUGGGACCUUCGGGCCACAUGCUAUCGGAUGCGCCUACGUGGGAUUAGCUAGUUGGCGAGGUAAUGGCUCACCAAGGCGACGAUCUCUAGCUGGUUUGAGAGGAUGAUCAGCCACACUGGAACUGAGACACGGUCCAGACUCCUACGGGAGGCAGCAGUGGGGAAUAUUGGACAAUGGGCGCAAGCCUGAUCCAGCCAUGCCGCGUGUGUGAAGAAGGCCUUCGGGUUGUAAAGCACUUUCAGCGGGGAGGAAGGGGUUGUAGUUAAUAGCUGCAACCUUUGACGUUACUCGCAGAAGAAGCACCGGCUAACUCUGUGCCAGCCGCCGCCGUGAAAC